UACGGAGGAUGCAAGCGUUAUCCGGAUUUAUUGGGUUUAAAGGGUGCGUAGGCGGGAAAAUAAGUCAGUGGUGAAAUCCUACAGCUUAACUGUAGAAUUGCCGUUGAUACUGUUUUUCUUGAGUAUGGUCAAGGAAGGCGGAAUGUGUAAUGUAGCGGUGAAAUGCUUAGAUAUUACACAGAACACCAAUUGCGAAGGCAGCUUUCUGGCCCAUUACUGACGCUGAGGCACGAAAGCGUGGGGAUCGAACAGGAUUAGAUACCCGGGGUAGUCCCU
rnacentral:rRNA from 1 species